rnacentral:rRNA from 1 species
GAUGGACGCUGGCGGCGUGCCUAAUACAUGCAAGUCGAGCGAACGGACGAGAAGCUUGCUUUUCCGAUGUUAGCGGCGGACGGGUGAGUAACACGUGGAUAACCUACCUAUAAGACUGGGAUAACUUCGGGAAACCGGAGCUAAUACCGGAUAAUAUUUUGAACCGCAUGGUUCAAAAGUGAAAGACGGUCUUGCUGUCACUUAUAGAUGGAUCCGCGCUGCAUUAGCUAGUUGGUAAGGUAACGGCUUACCAAGGCAACGAUGGAUAGCCGACCUGAGAGGGUGAUCGGCCACACUGGAACUGAGACACGGUCCAGACUCCUACGGGAGGCAGCAGUAGGGAAUCUUCCGCAAUGGGCGAAAGCCUGACGGAGCAACGCCGCGUGAGUGAUGAAGGUCUUCGGAUCGUAAAACUCUGUUAUUAGGGAAGAACAUAUGUGUAAGUAACUGUGCACAUCUUGACGGUACCUAAUCAGAAAGACACGGCUAACUACGUG